AUUACUUUUCAUUAAAGCUGCAAUUACAUUUGUACCAACCAAAUACAUUAGUUCUUUGGCACUUUUGGACUUUUCCAAGUGAAGAAAAGUCAUUUUGUUGUGUGUGUUUGUGUUUAAAAGUCUCUGUGCACUGUCAGGAUUUGAGGCAGACACUACUAUGUGAGCCACUCAAAGUUUCUAGUUAAUGAGGAAACCUGCUUAGCUUAGCUUGGUAUGUAACUUGACUUGACCUCUGUCUUUGAAGCUUCACUGGGGCUUGAAACAAUGCUGUUCUUUCAAGUUCAGUUCCUCAAAUGAAAGUUUUUUGGGAAUACAAAGGUACAAUAUGAGUUCUGUAAGCCUUCCAGUUCAAGCAGAUUCCAAUAGAUA
rnacentral:lncRNA from 1 species